GCCCAGCUGUGCUGUGGGCUCAGAGGCAGAGCUCCGGGGUCUCACCAUGGCCUGGACCCCUCUCCUGCUCCCCCUCCUCACUCUCUGCACAGGCUCUGUGUCCUCCUAUGAACUGACACAGCCACCCUCGGUGUCAGUGUCCCCAGGACAGACGGCCAGGAUCACCUGCUCUGGAGACAAACUUGACGAGAGAUAUGUGUCCUGGUACCAGCAGAAGCCCGGCCAGGCCCCUGUGCUGGUGAUACAUAAAGAUAGUGAGAGGCCCUCAGGGAUCCCCGAGCGGUUCUCUGGCUCCAGCUCAGGGAACACGGCCACCCUGACCAUCAGCGGGGCCCAGGCCGGGGACGAGGCUGACUAUUACUGUGCCAGAGCUCAUGGCAGUGGGAGCAGCUGGCAGUGA